rnacentral:rRNA from 1 species
UACGUAGGUGGCAAGCGUUGUCCGGAAUUAUUGGGCGGAAAGAGCUUGUAGGCGGUUUGUCGCGUCUGCUGUGAAAUUUCGGGGCUCAACCCCGAACUUGCAGUGGGUACGGGCAGGCUAGAGUGUGGUAGGGGAGACUGGAAUUCCUGGUGUAGCGGUGAAAUGCGCAGAUAUCAGGAGGAACACCGAUGGCGAAGGCAGGUCUCUGGGCCACUACUGACGCUGAGAAGCGAAAGCAUGGGGAGCGAACAGG